GAUGAUUUAUGAUGAUUUAUCAUAAUUUAUGAUUUUUGAUGAUUUACAUGGAUUAUGAGAUUUUACCAUUUGAACUAUUUAUUAUGAAAGUAUGAAGAGUAUGAUUUGAUAUAACUCAAGCCAAGUGAGUCAUCAUUGUUUGUAUGCAUGUUUUCAUGAAAUUGAUGAUAUUAUUUAAAGUGUUGCAUGCACCCCCACAUACUCAGUACAUUCUCUUUGUGCUGACCCCCAUCUAUUACUAUUGUAUUCAGUUGCAGCAUCUGGUCAGCAGGUAAAAGAGUCCUUAUAGUUCAAGGUCUUGUGUUGGUUGUUUCAGUUCAGAGACACUGUAUCUUCUUCUGUCGGCUAUAUUGAGUAGGAUGGUUGGGAGUCAUGACCCGUUUAUGUACAGGCAAUACUAGUAGAGGUUUCAUAGAUAGUAAUAGUGGUUGAUGUAUUCAGUCUCCUUCUUGUAUAUGUAUAUGUGUUAGUAUAAUUGUCAUCUUAUAAUUCCAAUAUUGUAUUGAACAAAUUCUGUAUUGAAAUAUUUUUAGCUUCAUUCUCUCAGAA
rnacentral:lncRNA from 1 species